UGGGGAAUAUUGCACAAUGGGGGAAACCCUGAUGCAGCGACGCCGCGUGAGCGAAGAAGGUUUUCGAAUCGUAAAGCUCUGUCCUAUGGGAAGAUAAUGACGGUACCAUAGGAGGAAGCCCCGGCUAACUACGUGCCAGCAGCCGCGGUAAUAAGUAGGGGGCAAGCGUUGUCCGGAAUCACUGGGCGUAAAGGGUUCGCAGGCGGAAAUGCAAGUCAGUUGUGAAAGGCAGAGGCUCAACCUCUGUAAGCAAUUGAAACUGUAUUUCUUGAGAUGUGGAGAGGCAAGUGGAAUUCCUAGUGUAGCGGUGAAAUGCGUAGAUAUUAGGAAGAAUACCGGUGGCGAAGGCGACUUGCUGGACACAAACUGACGCUGAGGAACGAAAGCGUGGGUAGCAAACAGG
rnacentral:rRNA from 1 species